ACUCAGUUCUCCCUGCACCUGUUGCUGGCCCUAAUGACCCGAGCCUUUGAAGCGCCGUACAGGACUGACUUUCCUUUGUGACGCGGUUAAUGAAAGCCAAGCACUUCAAAUUGAGAGUGUAAGAGGACCGUCAUCGACACGCUCCAGAGGCCACGAAACUGCUUUUUGGCGCCUGGCUCAGAAUGAACAUUCAUCACUGGUGGGCAGGACGCGGCGAGAAACCGUAACGGCCAAAGUUCACACAGAAAGGAAUGCUGAACUCCUCAAGAGGAGCCCGAGAAAUCCAGCAUCAGCACAGAGGAGCCGGAGGAGCCUCAUCGCCUCUCCGCUCGCUCCAGCCCUAGAGGACCAUAAACAAUAGCCUCUCCUCACAGCAGCCCGGGCCGGAUCCCAGCAACUCUAUUACUAUUCCAGUUGCCACGGGGCGUUGAGCCGCGGUGAACUGCGACCCCUGGCCUUAUUUUCAAAGCUGAUCUCUGAACUGUGCUGUGGCUCAGCGAUUCGCUGUGAAUGCAGACGUGUAGAGAGGGGAGCAGGUGAAUCGCUCUUCCUCUGCUAUUGUUUUUGAUGUGGAACAUGCUCUGAGGCGAUUUCUCAGUGUGUGCAAAGAGCAAACGCAGGGAAGUCAAGAAAUUUGGCUUGAGACGUGGAGAAGUCCAUGACUAGCAAUACGGAUGUCGGCAAAAGCUGUUUGCGUUUUGAUGUCCAAAUGCUUUGUGCAGAGCGCACUUUGCUUCCUCUUGCAUCGAUUAAGACUUUAGGUGAUAAGGUCCAGCAUAUGAAAAAUAAUCCCUAAUUUAAGUUAAAACAUGCUUCCAACAUCAGUCUAAAAACUCCUAGCAUCCUCCAGUCCUGACUGAAAUAAAGGCAGCUAACUGUUGUUCGUUUAGUUGUGUACAUCACCCUUUUACUGCCUCGAAUCCUUCCUGCUUCACUCUUUGUGUAAAUCAAUUUGGGCUCUAGGCUGAUCUGCCUUACAGACAUCUUUUCCUUUGAUUGGGUUCCCACCGCAGCCAAGCGCAGGACUACAGACAGCCUUAAGUUCUUUGAGGGAUUUGUACUCCCCCUAGUCCUAGCUUACCCGCCUUGACUCUAUCUGCCGUCCUCCACGGGCUCGGAGAAUUCACAAUCCCGGGCUCCGCUGGGCGGGAAGAAAAGAGGCUUUCACUGCAGACCUACCUGCAGGGCAAACGUCCUUCACAGGCCCUGAUCAGAAACUCCUGUUUGUAAUGAAUUCAAGCCACAUAGAAAGAACAUUUGUGAGAGUUUUCGGCUUUCAGGACACCAUCCGCUGCAUCCUUGAAAGACAAACUUUUAUGCUUGAAUCUGGGUUAAUUGAAGCUUAAAUUGAGACUUGGUUUGGUUGUGAUUUUGAUGAAAAACUAUUAAAUAUACUACUGUUCCUCUGUGUUGCAAAUGAAAGUGCACACUUAAUGUAACAGCUUUACUGCUGUACAGCUCUUACUGUUGCUGCAGAAUAUACUAUAAUAUUGGAAUUUGAAGUAUUUCAAAAUGAUGAGGUCAUCGAUAACCCUUUAUUGUGUAAUAAUGGCCACUGUUACACUUCCUGUUCACUAUUGUAAUUAGUAGUAGCAGACAGUAAUACUGUACAGUGGUCAGUAGGUUUUCCAGCAGGUUUCUAGCACUGUUUCCCCGUCUACAAUUGGUCAGAGAAACACUCAGUCCUGUCCAAUUUAACACCACUGACAGUUUGUGAUCAGUAACUAUAUUUCCAUCCACCUUUUUAAAUAUUAUUUUGUGAAUUUUUGUAUAUGGGGGAAAAAAU
rnacentral:lncRNA from 12 species